rnacentral:misc_RNA from 1 species
AAGUUCUUUAGAUGUUCUAUGAAAAUGGUGCCUCCCCUCAGUCGUUCAUAUGGUCUUUGGAUUUAGAAGUUAAUGCCUUGUAAUGAUCAUAUUGUGGAGCGAAAUGAAGUUUGUGUAAACUGGAGUCAUCUCAAGAAUCAAGAUACUAUGAUAAACUAUAAAUAUUGCCAUUCUUCGAAUCAAUGAGUGAGAAAAUGUCUUUUUCCCUGAGGUUUUAUUUGAAUGGUUUCUAUGGGUUUGUAAAUGCAUCUGCACUAUGAAGGCUUUUUCUUUUUCUGAAUUUUAAAAAUGCUAAGAUAAAAUCUGUGACCUAUAAAGGUUUGAGGGUAGGAUACUUUAAUCUUUCUAUCAAACUAGUUUGGAUUGGCCUUU